rnacentral:rRNA from 1 species
GAUGAACGCUGGCGGCGUGCCUAAUACAUGCAAGUCGAGCGAACUGACGAGAAGCUUGCUUUUCUGAUGUUAGCGGCGGACGGGUGAGUAACACGUGGAUAACCUACCUAUAAGACUGGGAUAACUUCGGGAAACCGGAGCUAAUACCGGAUAAUAUUUUGAACCGCAUGGUUCAAGAGUGAAAGACGGUCUUGCUGUCACUUAUAGAUGGAUCCGCGCUGCAUUAGCUAGUUGGUAAUGUAACGGCUUACCAAGGCAACGAUGCAUAGCCGACCUGAGAGGGAGAUCGGCCACACUGGCACUGAGACACGGUCCAGACUCCUACGGUAGGCAGCAGUAGGGAAUCUUACGCAAUGGGCGAAAGCCUGACGGAGCAACGCCGCGUGAGUGAUGAAGGUCUUCGGAUCGUAAAACUCUGUUAUUAGGGAAGAACAUAUGUGUAAGUAACUGUGCACAUCUUGACGGUACCUAAUCAGAAAGCCACGGCUAACUACGUG